rnacentral:sRNA from 1 species
GCUGGGUGUGGUGGCGCUCUCCUGUAAUCCCAGCAAUUUGGGAGGCUGAGGCAGAAGAAUCACAAGUUCAAGGCCAGCCUAAGCAAUUGAGUGAGACCCUGUAUCAA